AUUGAACGCUGGCGGCAGGCCUAAUACAUGCAAGUCGAACGAAUGGCGGACGGGCGAGUAAUUUCUGGGAAACUGCCUGACGGACGGGGCUAACUGCUGUAAACGGUAGCUAAUACCGCAUACCAUCGGAUGUGCCCUGAUGGGAUUAGCUACGUGUUGGGGUAAAGGCUCACCUAGGCGACGAGCCCUAGCUGGUCUGAGAGGAUGACCGGCCACACGGGAACGGAGACACGGUCCAGACUCCGACGGGAGGCAGCAGUGGGGAAUAUUGCGCAAUGGGCGAAAGCCUGAUGCAGCCAUGCCGCGUGUAUGAAGAAGGCCUUCGGAUUGUAAAGUACUUUCAGCGGGGAGGCGUUACCCACAGAAGAAGCACCGGCUAACUCCGUGCCAGCCGCCGCGGUAAUUC
rnacentral:rRNA from 1 species